GAAUUUCUCAAAUUAGGUUUUGUAGACUCUACUUGUAAUAAGAAGCAAAACUUGCUGGUUAAAUUCACACUAUUUGAGGUGUGAGAUCCCCAUUUCAUUGCAGUUCUUUGGAUGAGAUUGUGAAUCAUAUUUGAUAUACGAAGCAAAAACUGAUUUGAAAAUAGUUCAAAGGUUAGAUCAUAUUAAGAUCUUAGUAGCAGCAAUCUUCUAUCUAGGGUAAUGAACUUGGUUCAGAAUUUUCCCAGAAUAUUCAGCCUGCAAACAUCUCCUAAGCACUUCCUUAGUAAAAGUGUUGUUAAGGUGUCCAUUUACCUGCAUCCGGACUUUCAUCGGCUCCUAUAUCAGCACCCGAUUCUAGACGGUGCAGAAUAUUCUCAAAAUUUAUAAGAAAUCCUAAGUUGGCCUUUGAAGUAAUAAUGACUCAAUCCAAUCCACAUUGAAGAACAUUUGCUGUGGAUUGAGGGUGGUCAUAGUGGACAUAAACAAUCAAUGUUGAAGACCUUUUGUAGGUGAAUUCAAAUAUGAGGGAUCUGAUGUGAUCAUGAGAUCAAAUAGUAACUGACACAUCCUUGGGCACCAUCCUAUUGCAAUGAAUAUUUGUAAACGGUAACAUCAUCUUCAUCCAGUGUGAAUUCUUGGUAUUUAGCUUUUAAAAUUGGGUUCUAGGGGCAGUCUGUGAUUUUAAAAGGAAAUCCUUGCUGGUUGUGUCAUUUUAGCUUGCAUAGUGAUGCUAUAUUAUUUGUGGUCUAAUUUGGAGUCACAAUGAGUUAAAUAGGUAAUGGCUUAUAGGCUUCUAAUGAGAUUUGUUUCCAUAUCUAAUGGGAUUUGUUUCUGUUUCUAUGAAUCCUGAUAGGACUUGAGGCUUGCUUGAAGACAAGGCAAUGUGAGGUUAACAUUAUGGAUUUACAAACCACUUGAAUGGCACUGUGUGACCAAUUCCAUACCAUUCUGACACG
rnacentral:lncRNA from 1 species